UAGAAUAAUAAAUUUGUAAUAAUAAUUUAUUAAAUUGAUAGUAUAAAUAGUUUGAUAUUUUAGUUUGUUUAAAUUUACUUUACUUCUUAUAAUAGCUGUUUUGGAUACUUAAUAAGUUAAAACCUAAGAUUUUUUCUAAUGUCAGUUGACUUAAAAGUCCACAUACAAAUGGAGGAAAUUUUUCUAGUUUGCUCUUUUCUUCCUAUAUUGAUUGGAUUUUUA
rnacentral:misc_RNA from 1 species